CAAUAGCGUAUAUUAAAGUUGUUGCAGUUAAAAAGCUCGUAGUUGAAUUUCUGUCAGGAGCGACCGGGCCUUUGGAUGAACUUCCAUUGUUUUUUGCUCUGUUUGUCGUCUCUAGACAUCCUAAAUUACAUUUCUUGUAAUUUUCUUUUACUGUUAGCAAAAUAGAGUGUUCCAAGCAAAGCGUAGUUUUGAAUACAUUAGAAUGGAAUAAUAAGAUAGGACUUUGGUGCUAUUUUGUUGGUUUGCACACCAAGGUAAUGAUUAAUAGGGACAGUUGGGGGUAUUCGUAUUUAAUUGUCAGAGGUGAAAUUCUUGGAUUUAUGAAAGACGAGCUACUGCGAAAGCAUUUACCAAGGAUGUUUUCAUUAA
rnacentral:rRNA from 1 species